ensembl:lncRNA
GUGAUGGGAUGGGGGCGAGGUAUUAAGCUUGGCACCUUCAUCACAAUUGGUUAGAGUAAGAAAGAAGUCUUCCAUUAAGAGAACAGGAGGGUUAUUAACAGAAGAUACAGGAAAUAGACUGUGGGUAAGCAGAAAGAGCAGAUGUCUACUACAGCCACCAAGAUGGACAUGGAAAGCAAAGAACAGUCCUCCCAUUCACUGUCUUAUUCUGACCAGACAGUAUACAUCGGAAGCGGGUAGGAGGAGUAUAUUCCUUACUAGUGGAUGUAGCUGGUCUUUUCUCUUUUGAUCUUAGGGAUCCUUCUGCUGCUGCUGCUGCUAAGUCGCUUCAGUCAUGUCCGACUCUGUUCAACCCCAUAGACGGCAGCCCACCAGGCUCCCCCGUCCCUGGGAUUUUCCAGGCAAGAGUGCUGGAGUGGGGUGCCAUUGACUUCUCCUAAGGAUCUUUCUAGUUGGUUGAAAAAGACCUAUUUUUAAAUCCCUUCAGUGACCUGUCCUCCUUGCCACUAAUAUCUUCCACAUCUCAGCUUGUUGUGAAGGGAUGGCCCAGGUGAGCCAAAACAGCUAUGCAUCUGCCACUCAGGCUCUUUCCCUAGGCUGCUUCUCAUUCUAACUGUACCAACUCCACCCAGUUCCUUAGGGUUUCUUAACUCCCUUCAGCAGACGUCAGCUACAUACUCUGGACUCAUGAUUCAGCUUGAACUGGGUAGGCACAUUUUUUUUUUUUUUUAAAAGCAAAAAAGAGGGAUACCAAUCAAAAGAAAAAAGAAAUAAUAAGAGUUUGGGGACAUUCAGUAUUGCAAUGGGAAAUUGGGGAACUGGGCUGUGGAGGGGCAUAUUCUCCCUCAGUGCAUUUUGAAUUGAUUUUCAGAGAUAGAGAUGGGCUCUACAAUAAGGGCUGAGUAUUACCAAACAAGGACUCCCUGCCCUAUGAACAGAGAAGCCCAUACUAUGGCAGUGGCUUUCAAGAAAAGAAAGAGCUUUACUGUGAGGUUGACAGGCAAAAAAGGCAUGAGGCAAAGCUCUCAAAUUUGUCUCCCUGAUCCAGGGUUAAGGUGAAAUUUAAAGGGCUAGAGGAAUUUCAAAUGUGGAAGCUGAUUGGCUAGUCUUAGAAUUAGUCCAUAUAGGCUACUAGUCCUGCUGGAAGCCAAGUUUUCCUAAUUGAAAAUUUUCUUGCUUGGUAAAGAGCUCCAGUGGCAACAUUUUCACUCUUUUGAGUUUUGUAGACUGAAGAUUCUUGAUUCCAGGGUAAUCUUGGGGAUGUGGGUUCCUGUUUUGCACAUGUCUAGUGCUGUGUCUCUGUAAAGUAACUUAAGAUCUGAUUAAUCAACAACCUGUGCAGCAAAACUCUUUUCAGCUGGUGCUGUUUCACUUAAUUGACAAGCUAUUUAAGGAGGCAAAACCGGUUCAAACUGGUGCACUUUCAAGAGAGAACAGAGAAGGGAUGCAGAGCUGCUGCUGACUCUCCACUUUGCUUUUUUUGUCCUACAUUGGAGGAAACUGGUGUGUUCAAACUUUGGUCUACUGGAAUCAGUUUGUGGCAUGAAGUCAUGGACCAUGUCUGAUAUUACACAUCACUGCAUCCUUCCAGGAGCUCAGUGCCUGACCUAUAGUAUGAGUUCAUCUGAAGGGAAAUGCUUCACUGAAUGGUUAUAAUUCAGCUCCAAACCUCACUGCCAUUCCCACAGUGACUCAUCGAGAGCAGGAGGAUGCUGGGAAAAUCUUUUAGGCCAUUUGGAGGAGUGCUUGAAUAAGUGGUUUAACACCUGUUCACAGACUACUCACCACCCUCUGACCCUCAUCCACCAAGCCCUUUGGUAUUUCAUGGAAGACUUUAUUGGAGCUGGCCAGUGUUGGGUGCCUUGUGAAUUCUAUGCAUAAUUUAGCAAAUUUACCAAUGUUUGCCACCAUGUGUUCUAGCCCUGACUCUGGGACUUCAAGACUCCAGCCAUAUUUUAGAGCCUUUGACUUUCAUUUGUCCAUCCAGUUCUGUAAAUAUUGACAAAAUGAGGCUCUUAAAUACAGUAAAAUGGGCUCAGAUGAAUAACAAAUCUAUAGUGAAGAUGCCUAAGUCUCUCAGUAAACCUCAAACAAAUCCUGGGAAAGUUUCCUAACGUAGUUUCUUUGUGUCCCUUUCCCACCUCCUAGGGCAGGGCAGAGAACCUGGAUGAGAGACAUGGAUAAAGGGAUAUUUUAUGAAAUCUUUUAGACACUGACAUUUCAUGAAUUUCUUCUUUUGAGUGAGGAAUGGAGCAAGAUUUUGCACUUGCCUUAUUGUUAUUAAUCCCAAAGUUAGGCCUACAAGCAGUGUCCUUGGGGACACAGUUUCCCUGGGCUUGGGGUGUCAAGUCAGCACAGAGGUGACAAAAUUAACUUUGGAAGUCCCUUAAUGCACCCAUACAGGACAGUGUUACUAGUUUUUGUGCCUAAAAUCCUGCAAGUAAUUUUUGUGUACCUUCAAGUAUGAGAACCACUGUGAGGAGGAACAGAGUAGGUGUGCAGCUCUGAGGAAUUCAAACCAACCUGUCUUUAAAAUCACCAUCAAAACCUUAGUAUGACUGGGGGAUGAGCUGGCAUUCCCAAAAUGACCCUGACAGCCUACAGGCUUUAGUCAACCCUGUUUUUAUAUUGAGCCUUUCUAACCUUAAUGCAGUGUUACAGAUUGAUUAUGAUUGCUAAGCUUAAACUAGGAAGCGGAGUCACAUCUCGGAGGACGGGGGCAGGGGAGAGUGGGUGGGUUUAGUCUCCCAAACUUGCAAGCCUGCGCUAAAUUAGACCUUGAUGCAGCUUCACUGUACUCAAGAAAGCAAUGGAAUUCUUGGGCAAACCAGGGCAGUUUGUGGAUAUAAAAUGACUUUAAAAAUUAAAUGCUGUAGUGAAUUCAAAUGUUCAAACUCAGAGUUCCUCAGAGUGGAGGAGAAAUCCCUAUAAUAGAGGCCUUUCUCUCUCCUUUCACUUCUCCCCCUCCAUCUUAUUGUAUCUUCAAUUAUCUGGGUAAUUUGGUCCUGAGGGCAUAAAUUCCUUUAUAACUCAAAUCCAUUAUGCAGAGAAGAGUCAUCAGGAAAUUACUCAGAUUGCAUCCCUGAUGGUGUGAAGGUUUUGGAGCAGAUCCGGCAUCCCAUUAGCAAAGCACUGCUCUUGAAUUCAGAUUUGAGCCUGGAGGCUGGACAUCCAUGCUCUUCCCUUCGCCCCUCUUUGUUUCAGCAAGGGCCGCCUGUAGGGAAGUCCCGUGCUGGUGCUGGCUGGCGGCAGCUUCUCUCCAUCCGAGGCCACGGCUGCUGCCAGCUUCCCUUGGCUGGCGUAGACACCUUCUCUCCAGGCCAGGGAGAGCCGCUGCCAGGCGGGCAGACGUAUGCUUUCAUCAUGUCUCACCAUCUCCUGGAGCCAGGCACCCAGGCCUUUUAAUUCCUGUAAAACUCGGGUCUUUCUGGUGGAGAGCUGGUUUUCAUAUCUGUGGCCUGACGGGGAUCGUCCUUGUGCUGCUGCUGGUGGUCUGUGAGCAGCCUGCCUUUGAGCUGACAGGCCCUCAACCAAAAUGCAAACAUAUUCAAGUUCAAUUUUGGAAGAGGACAUUCUAAGUCUGGCAACCUCUGUCAUCUGGCUUCAUUCUUUCUAGAUUUCUGGUUUACUAGGGAUAUUCAGUUUGGUUUUAUUAUUUGUGUAUACAGGUUUUCCCUCUCCCCCCGCCCCCACCCCUGCUCACCCCUGCAAAGUGACGACUUUGAGGAAGGCAGCAUGUAGAAGGAUCUUAGAUUAUGGUUCAGGCAGACCUGUGUCUAUUGCUCUUUGUGUCUUCCCUCACAAUUAAGUAAAUACUGUAAGAGAGAAUUUUGUGUAUUUCAAUCUCUGCUGUGUCCCCAGUGUCUGGCAUUGUGCCAGGCACAUAGUAGGUGAUCCAUGAGGAAUUAAAGUGCACGAGGAAAAGAAUGGGCUAGCAUGCUGUGCUCUAAUUAGCAGCUUUGUGAUUUUAGGAAGAAUUCUUUUAAAUGCCAUUUUUCAUUUUGUCACCUGCAAAAUGGUCAUGAAAUGUGUAAGACCAUAGAGAAAGUACCUGGCUAGUGCUGUGUUCAACAAAUGGUAGGGUUUCCCUCUUCCAUUUGUCAACCGUAGAGUGAACUCUUCAAGGACAAACACCUAGUUUGAUUCUCCAUUUCCCAGGCCUAGCACUGCUCCUGCACAGAGUGGGUGUUCCAUAACGACUUGUUGAAUGAAUCUAGUCCUCCAUGGGAAGCGGGUGCUUGGGGAUCAGUGAAGUUGACUACUGAGGACAGGCCUAGAAAAGUUACCUUUCUAUUGUGUCUCAUUCUGGUAUCUGUUUCUAUGUGAGGGAAAUGAAUAGAGAAUUCUCUCCAGAUCAUCUGGAUCUAUGGAUUAUGUGAUGAUUUGAAAAGGAAUUUUUUACUGAAAUUUCUUCUUUUCAGUCAAAAAAGACCACUCAUAGGAUAAAAGGCCAGGCCUUGCAGUGAUUUGCUGACCACACUCUACAUAUUUUGGAAGUUUGAUACUUUAUGUGUAAUUUCUUGCACAUUUGUAAUGUUAGGUCACGUGACCCAUUCCGUGAGUUAACACACCUGCUACUGUUACACCCAUUUGACAAGGAAGAAAAGUAGAGGCAGGACAUGGAGAUUUGCCAAAGUCAGACACUUAUUUAGUGGUGCUAAGUUAGAAACUGCAUUUCCUCACCCCAAACUCGCCUCACUAGAGCAUGUAGCUUCUGUGAGUAUUGAGCUGAAAGGAGGAUACAGAUGUUUUGCACUCCUGUUCCCUUUGUCAAUGUUACUUAUUUGCAAAAUCUUGCCUUUUUUUCUGUUACUUGACCCAAGGUCUGUAUCUGCCACACCACUUACAAAUUGCUCCAAUCUCUAUUUUUGUUGUUAUGCCUGACAUAUAGUCACUUUCUCAGCUUGCAGCUCAAUUAAUCAUGCUCGUGUAAUUUUGAAGGGAACUUUUGUGUUCGUUUAAAUUUGGAAGGUGUUGAAGAAUCACUUACAGCUUUCAGCACUACUUUCUCCAGAUAUGACCCAGCUGAGAAUGUCUAUUUGAUUUACUGUGUUAAGUUGUGUCUAUUUCGUUUUUCAAGAGGGGCUAGCCUUAUUAAUUUUAUUCUAUUUGGGGGAAUAAUUAAUUUUAUUCUAUUUUAUGGAAUCUAUAUUAUUUAUAAUUUAUUUAUAUUUAUAAUUCAUUUAUUUAUAAUUUUAUUCUAUUUGGGGGAAUAAUUAAUUUUACUCUAUUUUGGGCUUCCCUUGUGGCUCAGCUGGUAAAGAAUCCACUUGCAAUGCAGGAGACCUGGGUUCGAUCCCUGGGUUGGGAAGAUCCCCUGGAGAAGAGAAAGGGUACUCACUCCUGUAUUCUUACCUGGAGAAUUCCAUGGACUGACUCAUGGGUUGCAAAGAGUUGGAAACAACUGAAUGACUUUCAUUUUCAAUUUUGGGAAAAAAGAGAAGAAUAUAUUUAUUCCUAUAUCAGAAGAUAUUCCUAUGCUGGUAAUUCAAGGCCAAAUUUUUUUUGUUAACCUCUGAUAAAAUAACAUGUAAACUGAAUGCAAAUCAAGUGUGACCUAAGACUUAUUAUAUUAUUGACAAUUCUGGUCCCAUCCAAAGCCACAGAAGAUAAUAAAUUAAGUACUUCUUCACGUAGUAUUGGUGAUGUUCAAUGCAAACUCUUUUGAAGAUGAAAUGGAACAUUUUUAUGAAGAGGGAUGAAUGAAAUACAAUAAGCUACUGUGGAGAUAAUUACUAGAAUGGAGGUAAAAUAGGUACCUUGGUGAUUCUUCUCUAGUGUUGCCAUAGGUAUGGUCAUUUAGAUGCAGCAUGAUGCCUCAAGCUAUAGAAUGCUAGCUCAAGGGUACCAAAGUGUAGACAAUUCUAUACUCAGUUCAUAUG